rnacentral:sRNA from 1 species
CUGCCGGCUGCCACGCUCCAUUACCGGGCAACACGCUUUGAUUCGGUGCAAUAAAUCCCUCCCCAAUCCGCUCCACCAGCCCGCCACUCAAUAAAUCCGUGCCUUCGCGCCAGUUGGCACAACCACUGCAUAAUCCCUUUCAACAGACAUAAGGCAACGCCUCCAACGAUGAAGGCGGUGCUUCCCGAGAGAACGGGACCAGGACAAAGGCGUCCUCGCUAGCUUGCUAGCGGGACGCC